rnacentral:rRNA from 1 species
UCCGCAGGCGGUUCGGUGUGUCAGAUGUGAAAGCCCACAGCUUAACUGUGGAAUUGCAUUUGAAACUGCCGGACUAGAGUACUGGAGGGGAGAAGGGAACACUUGGUGUAGCGGUGAAAUGCGUAGAUAUCAAGUGGAACACCGGUGGCGAAGGCGCUUCUCUGGACAGAUACUGACGCUCAUGGACGAAAGUUAGGGUAGCGAAAG